GCCCGGGUGGUGAAAUGGCAAACACGCAACACUCAAAAUGUUGUGAUCGCAAGGUCUUGUCGGUUCAAGUCCGACCCCGGGCA
rnacentral:tRNA from 2 species